UGCGCAGGUGGGCUUGUAAGUCAGUGGUGAAAUACUGCCGCUUAACGGUAGAACUGCCAUUGAUACUGCAAGUCUUGAGUAUGGUUGAGGUAGGCGGAAUGUGUUGUGUAGCGGUGAAAUGCAUAGAUAUGACACAGAACUCCAAUUGUGAAGGCAGCUUACUAAGCCAUUACUGACGCUGAGGCACGAAAGCGUGGGGAGCGAACAGGAUUAGAUACCCUGGUAGUCC
rnacentral:rRNA from 1 species